rfam:Strongylocentrotus purpuratus Contig84944_fixed, whole genome shotgun sequence.
GGAGUGUUGGCUCAGUCAGUAGAGCCUCCGCCUCACAACCGGGAGGUCGUGGGUUCGAACCCCGGCCGCGUCA